rnacentral:rRNA from 1 species
CAGUAGCCGCGGGAAUACGUAGGUGGCAAGCGUUAUCCGGAAUUAUUGGGCGUAAAGCGCGCGCAGGUGGUUUCUUAAGUCUGAUGUGAAAGCCCACGGCUCAACCGUGGAGGGUCAUUGGAAACUGGGAGACUUGAGUGCAGAAGAGGAAAGUGGAAUUCCAUGUGUAGCGGUGAAAUGCGUAGAGAUAUGGAGGAACACCAGUGGCGAAGGCGACUUUCUGGUCUGUAACUGACACUGAGGCGCGAAAGCGUGGGGAGCAAACAGGAUUAGAUACCCCUGUAGUCCCUGUCUCUUAUAC